rnacentral:rRNA from 1 species
CUCCUACGGGAGGCAGCAGUGGGGAAUAUUGCACAAUGGGCGCAAGCCUGAUGCAGCCAUGCCGCGUGUAUGAAGAAGGCCUUCGGGUUGUAAAGUACUUUCAGCGGGGAGGAAGGGAGUAAAGUUAAUACCUUUGCUCAUUGACGUUACCCGCAGAAGAAGCACCGGCUAACUCCGUGCCAGCAGCCGCGGUAAUA